UGGGGAAUUUGGACAAUGGGCGAAAGCCUGAUCCAGCAAUGCCGCGUGUGUGAAGAAGGCCUUCGGGUUGUAAAGCACUUUUGUCCGGAAAGAAAUCCUUGGCUCUAAUACAGUCGGGGGAUGACGGUACCGGAAGAAUAAGCACCGGCUAACUACGUGCCAGCAGCCGCGGUAAUACGUAGGGUGCAAGCGUUAAUCGGAAUUACUGGGCGUAAAGCGUGCGCAGGCGGUUUGCUAAGACCGAUGUGAAAUCCCCGGGCUCAACCUGGGAACUGCAUUGGUGACUGGCAGGCUAGAGUAUGGCAGAGGGGGGUAGAAUUCCACGUGUAGCAGUGAAAUGUGUAGAGAUGUGGAGGAAUACCGAUGGCGAAGGCAGCCCCCUGGGCCAAUACUGACGCUCAUGCACGAAAGCGUGGGGAGCAAACAGGAUUAGAUACCCUGGUAGUCCACGCCCUAAACGAUGUCAACUAGUUGUUGGGGAUUCAUUUCCUUAGUAACGUAGCUAACGCGUGAAGUUGACCGCCUGGGGAGUACGGUCGCAAGAUUAAAACUCAAAUGAAUUGACGGGGUCAUAGCUGUUUCCU
rnacentral:rRNA from 1 species